CAACAGGCUAGAAAGGGAGUUACAGUUUGGCUGGGGUGACUGACCUAGACUAACAAGAUGAAAUCAGUCUACCAGUCCACAACGGAGAUAAGGAAGAGUAUGCAUUGAACAUAGGAGAACCAUUAGGGCGUCUCUUAGUGUUACCAUGCCCUGUGAUUAAGGUCAAUGGGAAACUACAACAGCUCAAUCCAGGCAGGACUACAAAUCUCUCACAUCCUUCAGGAAUGAAGGUUUGGGUCACUCCACCAGGGAAAAAACCAUCACCUGCUGAGGUGCUUGCUGAAGGCAAAGGAAAUGCGGAAUGGGUAGCAGAAGCUUCUAGUCUUUCUGGGAUUGGAUUUUGGAGAAAAUCGGAUACAGAAAAUUUCUACUAAUUGGCAUGGUGGGCCUGUCUCAUCUCUAUGUCUGGACCUGGGGCCUGCAAUCAUAGUGACUUUGCCUACCUGUAUCUCCCCACAUUCUACCAAGCUCCAACAAAAGUGAACAGCACUACUAUUCAGCCAGAUGCUCAGAAAGGAAGCUUGGGACUCGCUCCUGAAUCCCCUUUCAUUCUCCCCGCUCAAAUAAUUGAUCACGACUAGAGCUGAAGUUCUAUGGCUGGAAUCUACCCGUGUGUCUCCAGGCCGACUGCAAGUAUCAUAACCCAGCCUUUCUCACCUAGGUUUUCACUGGAGCCUCGUAACUACUUCUGUUGCUGUUUAUUCUUCACAUUUUAGACAAUGUGAUCACUCUGCAGUAAAUACAUUACUAAAUCACAUACCCAGUUUAAAACAGUUUUUUUUCAUUAUUACUUCCAGAAAAAGUCCUAUUCUCCUUAACAUAGCCUGUGAGACUCUUCUCAGCCAGCUUCCAUUCAGGCAAACAGAUUCCACAUAAAGUAAUCCAAAGGGGCAAACAGUUACAAAGAAGUUAAAAGAAAAGAGCAAACCAUAAUAAAGAGGCUGGAAGAAAUUAAGAGAAACACAAGGGAUCCUGAGUCAAACAGAAGUGCACAACAGGAAGAAGGCAUUACCCCUCUAGGUUGGUGUGAGAAAAGAGCAUGCGAUGUUACCAGAACCCAAAGUCAGGGAUUACUGGCAGAAGUGGGAACUUGCCUGUUAGGAGGAGGGAUUAGGGAUGAGGAGAGCCUGGUGGUAGCUGGAAUUGUGGAGAAGAUGCAGCCUCUGCUGAGAAAGGGAAGCAAAACACCUUGGCUUCUCCUCUCCUGUCCUAUAGUCUCAGGUGAGCACCCUCAUCUCUGAACAUAACUGCAAGCCAGCUGGUGGGGAAACCUGAGUAAUGUAUGUUGCAGAACACAAGAAGGUUGGGAAAUGAAUGUGCACAAAGCUUCAAAUUCUGCCCCUUGCUUCCCUUUGUAGCCUCAGCCCUGGACACUGCUCCUUCUCUUGCAUGCUCUAGACCUCACCUGACAGGCCUCAUUUCAGUUCCUUAGUGCACUCUUUCUGGCUUCUCUGUGCUUGUGCACCCUGUAACCCCUAAUUAGUGGGUUAGAGAAAUCACCCUUUUGUCUUCUCUCACUUGCCUGAGUAUCUCCUAACUGUGCUUUGGGUCUCAGCUUGGAUAUCACUCUUUUGGAAAGUCAGUUUUGGUCCCUGUAACUGGAUUAGGUACCCAGGACAUGAGCUCUUAAUAACCUGUAAAUCCCCAUCAUAGCAUUUAUUUUAACACUUCAAAGAAUAAUAUAAAAAUAGAUUAGUCUUCUAUUCACUUGUCAUAAUAAAUUCUAGUGCGAUCAAGGAAAGAGUUCCCUACCUGCUAGUUACCAUCAUAUGCCCAGUCUCUGGCAAUAGGAGGAGUUCACCAAGUAUCAACUAACUGAGUAGUGUGGAUCAAUACAUGAAGGCAUGUGAGUGGAAACAGCGGUGGUCAAAGAGGAGCAGUGCAAGUCUCUGCUCAAGGGGGAUUCUAUGAAUUACUGUUAGGACUAUUCUUAGAUUCUGAAAGACAAAAGAUAUUGUUCAAAUUUUCCAUGAUAUCCAAAUGUAUGAUUGCUACUUUGGCUUUAAUGCUAACUUAUUUACCUCUACUCUUACAAGAAUUUCCUGGCUCCUUCACUUAGCCAGCACACAUCAUACUAUAUGAAAUAGGAGAAGGAUAAAGACACAGAAACCAGGAGCCUGGCAAAAUGGCUAUUAUAUCAGUCUAAGUGGAGGUUAUAGGAGAAGUAAAUUAAGUAUGAGAAAAGAGAAAUCAUGGGGAUAUCAUUUAAACCUGAAAAUAGUUUAAUUUAGAUAUAAUUAUGUAAAAAACUAAUCAUAAAAGGCUACCUGCGAAACUAUUAGCAGAAUUUAUUACAAUCGGGUUUGGAUAUCUCUUUUUUUUAACAAUAAAGAAAAUACAAUGCAAAUAAUAACUUCUCAUUUGGACUUUUGAGAAAACAACAAAAAGGUAGGCAGAAGAAAAUGCUAAAACCAAACCAUAGGAUAAAGAACACAGAGUUACUAAGAUAUUUUUUAAAAUAAAAUAUAUAACUCAAAUUACAAAUAAGAGUCACUACGGUUUGCUUUUACUUAUUAUUUCCUUAUCUUUGGGUCAACCCUCACUCACAAGUAAUUCAAUUGGUGUCUCUGUCCUUAUCUUUCUUCUCUUAUUUUCACAUAAUAUUUUUGCUACCAGAAGCCGAGACAACUAUCCUAUGAAAUAUUAUUUGACUCUUCAUUAUGAUAACUCUUCAUUAUGAUAAUCUAUUUUUUACAGUUUAUUUCCAUUUUAGUUAGCAGAUACUUUAUUUCUUAUUAACAUACAUUUGUUCUUGCCUGUGAUUUUGUAUUGCUAAUUCCUGCUACACAGAUUUAAGGUGAAACAUUUUAGGAUUUCUAGUAUGACUAACUUCGUAUGUGAAUGUGCUAUGCUAGUAAUCUUUGCUUCUAUGUUGGAGGGGGUUUCAAUUACUCCUAUCUAUGAGCAGACCAUCUUCUAGAGUAGUCCAUGGAGAAUAUUCCCUGAUAUACAAUGCACUCUACUGAUGGGUGUUUCUUGUCUCCAUACUACAGUUAUUAACCUGAGCAGCUAGAGAUGAAAUCUCUAAAUCUGUAAUAAAACACUGCCUCACUACAUCUUUGCCUACUAUCUGUUGGUUUAAUACAAUCUCAACAUUAAAUAAAGAAGUAAAGUAAAAUUGAAGUAGAAUUUUCUAUAAGCAUCAUUUGUUAAUAAAAGAUUAUUGAAUUAAGUCAUAAAAAAGCAACAAAACUUUGGUACAAAAUAGUGCUUUUUUAUGUUCUUUAACAAAUGCUUCUUGAGCAAAUUCAUCAUUAAAUCUGACCUUGUGAAAAAGAAUAUUUGAAAUCAAUAACAAGUGUGCAUUAACAUAUAAACUGGUGAUUUUCUUAUUCAAAUGUAACAUAUGCAAUUAUUGUGCUUGUAAAACACUUGAACCAUUUGAAACUGACUUUAUGAAAAAUAAACUAGGUCUUCAAACAAGAGAAAGUAACUUCAGAAAUAAAGGUUAAGGUCAGCUGGCAUGAUUUCCCAGGAAAGAAUUAUUAUAUCUCUGUUACCUUUUCACCCAAUUGCCCACACUGUUGCCCACAAAGCAAUUGUGUAGCCCAGAAAACCAAUAACAAAUAAAAUAUAACCACAAGAGUUCAUAGCUAGAGUUCCCAGUUGAAGAAAAGUUCUAUUAAAGAAGCUGAUUUUAUGAUGCUCUGUGAGUGAGAGAACAUACAUUUUCCAAAUACAUACAUGGCAGUGCUGCCUGAAAAUUCUGGCUGGAUGGAACCGAGAGACAGUUUUAU
rnacentral:lncRNA from 1 species